rnacentral:rRNA from 1 species
AGUGUCCUGAAGUGGGGGAUAACGCAUCGAAAGAUGUGCUAAUACCGCAUAUUCUCUGAGGAGGAAAGUAGGGGAUCGAAAGACCUUAUGCUUUUGGAGCGGCCGAUGUCUGAUUAGCUAGUUGGUAGGGUAAUGGCUUACCAAGGCGACGAUCAGUAGUUGGUCUGAGAGGACGACCAGCCACACUGGGACUGAGACACGGCCCAGACUCCUACGGGAGGCAGCAGUGGGGAAUUUUGGACAAUGGGCGCAAGCCUGAUCCAGCAAUGCCGCGUGAGUGAAGAAGGCCUUCGGGUUGUAAAGCUCUUUCAGUUGAGAAGAAAAGUCGUGACUAAUAAUCAUGAUUCAUGACGGUAUCAACAGAAGAAGCACCGGCUAACUACGUG